rnacentral:rRNA from 1 species
UUGUUGGAGAGUUUGAUCCUGGCUCAGGACGAACGCUGGCGGCGUGCUNNACACAUGCAAGUCGAGCGGUNAAGGCCGGGCGGGGGNNNNNNNNNNNNNNNNNNNNNNNNNNNUGGGUNACCUGCCCUCAGCUUUGGGAUAAGCCUGGGAAACCGGGUCUAAUACCGGAUAUGACCUCCUNUCGCNNGCGGGUUGUGGAAAGUNNNNUCGGCUGGGGAUGGCCCGCGGCUUAUCAGCUUGUUGGUGGGGUAAUGGCCUACCAAGGCGACGACGGGUAGCCGGCCUGAGAGGGUGACCGGCCACACUGGGACUGAGACACGGCCNAGACUCCUACGGGAGGCAGCAGUGGGGAAUAUUGCGCAAUGGGCGGAAGCCUNACGCAGCGACGCCGCGUGGGGGAUGACGGCCUNCGGGUNGUAAACCUCUUUCGCCAUCGACGAAGCCUUGCGGGGUUGACGGUAGGUGGAGAAGAAGCACCGGCCAACUACGUGCCAGCAGCCGCGGUAAUACGUAGGGUGCGAGCGUUGUCCGGAAUUAUUGGGCGUAAAGAGCUCGUAGGCGGUGUGUCGCGUCGGUCGUGAAAACUUGGGGCUNAACCCUGAGCUUGCGGUCGAUACGGGCAUCACUNNAGUUCGGCAGGGGAGACUGGAAUUCCUGGUGUAGCGGUGNAAUGCGCAGAUAUCAGGAGGAACACCGGUGGCGNAGGCGGGUCUCUNGGCCGAUACUGACGCUGAGGAGCGAAAGCGUGGGGAGCGAACAGGAUUAGAUACCCUGGUAGUCCACGCCGUAAACGGUGGGCGCUAGGUGUGGGGGCCAUUCCACGGUCUCUGUGCCGCAGCUAACGCAUUAAGCGCCCCGCCUGGGGAGUACGGCCGCAAGGCUAAAACUAAGAAUUGAGGGGGCCGCACAAGCGGNGGAGCAUGUGGAUNNAUUCGAUGAAACGCGAAGAACCUUACCUGGGUUUGACAUGCACCAGACGCGUCCAGAGAUGGGCGUUCCCUUGUGGCUGGUGUGCAGGUGGUGCAUGGCUGUCGUCAGCUCGUGUCGUGAGAUGUUGGGUUAAGUCCCGCAACGAGCGCAACCCUAGUUCCAUGUUGCCAGCGGGUAGUGCUGGGGACUCAUGGGAGACUGCCGGGGUCAACUCGGAGGAAGGUGGGGAUGACGUCAAGUCAUCAUGCCCCUNAUGUCCAGGGNNUCACACAUGCUNCAAUGGCCUGUACAGAGGGCUGCGAGACCGCAAGGUGGAGCGAAUCCCUNAAAGUAGGUCUCAGUUCGGAUCGGGGUCUGCAACUCGACCCCGUGAAGUUGGAGUCGCUAGUAAUCGCAGAUCAGCAACGCUGCGGUAAAUACGUUCCCGGGCCUUGUACACACCGCNCGUCACGUCACGAAAGUUGGUAACACCCGAAGCCGACGGCCYAACCCGCGGGAGGGAGUAGUCGAAGGUGGGACUGGCGAU